AUGCCGAAGAAGGAGUAGAGGGCGGAGCCAUGGAGGAGGAAGACGGUGUCUGACGUCACUUCCUUGGCGGCAAGAACGAGCGGGAGUGGUGCUCAACAUGGCGAGAUGUACCGGAGUGUUUUUUGCGGCGUUUGCACCGGAUUAACAGUUUUUUUCUUGCUUUUUUCCCCCAAAAGUGAGAAGCGACAAUUUUUAGCGGGUUCCUCCGGACCGAGACACUCAGCAGUGGUGACCCAGCAGCCAUAACCCAGCAGCGGUGACCCAGCACCUGCAACAGCUGCCCUGAAGUCCAAAACUCAACAUGGUCCACGUGCUGACGGCAGCUCAGGUGACAGUGAGCCAGCUGAGCCUGCUGUCCCACACGCCUCUCCGAACCUGCGGUGGUGCGCAAUCCCCACAGUCUUCAGCUUUUUGGGCACAACAUCCGCUCUUUGAGCGGUCCCGCUGAUCUACGGCAUCGGUCAUGUACCCGAUGAUCUACUACAGCAGGCAGCUGCAGGAGCGCCGGCAGGAGGAUGAUGGAGAGUAAAGUGCUCCUCGUUCAUCUUUUCGCGUAUUCACAUUUCAUGUCGUUCUUCGCUCUGCAGGUGACGGUGUGACCGCUGCCGUCCUGGAGAACGUCACCAAACUGUGAAUGUUUGUGUUUGUCCCUCAGGUACUGACAGUGUAAACAGAGCCGCUGUAACUGGAAGACGACUGUUAUCAGCUGUAAGUUGAUGUUUUGAAAGCAAAAUAAAGAAUAAACUUGAAUAUU